rnacentral:rRNA from 1 species
AGUGAACGCUGGCGGUAGGCCUAACACAUGCAAGUCGAACGGCAGCACAGUAAGAGCUUGCUCUUACGGGUGGCGAGUGGCGGACGGGUGAGGAAUACAUCGGAAUCUACUUUUUCGUGGGGGAUAACGUAGGGAAACUUACGCUAACACCGCAUACGACCUACGGGUGAAAGCAGGGGAUCUUCGGACCUUGCGCGAUUGAAUGAGCCGAUGUCGGAUUAGCUAGUUGGCGGGGUAAAGGCCCACCAAGGCGACGAUCCGUAGCUGGUCUGAGAGGAUGAUCAGCCACACUGGAACUGAGACACGGUCCAGACUCCUACGGGAGGCAGCAGUGGGGAAUAUUAGACAAUGGGCGCAAGCCUGAUCCAGCCAUACCGCGUGGGUGAAGAAGGCCUUCGGGUUGUAAAGCCCUUUUGUUGGGAAAGAAAAGCAGCAGGUUAAUACCCCGCUGUUCUGACGGUACCCAAAGAAUAAGCACCGGCUAACUUCGUG